rnacentral:rRNA from 1 species
CCGUGCCAGCAGCCGCGGUAAUACGGAGGGUGCGAGCGUUAAUCGGAAUUACUGGGCGUAAAGCGCAUGCAGGUGGUUUGUUAAGUCAGAUGUGAAAGCCCGGGGCUCAACCUCGGAAUAGCAUUUGAAACUGGCAGACUAGAGUACUGUAGAGGGGGGUAGGAAUUUCAGGUGUAGCGGUGAAAUGCGUAGAGAUCUGAAGGAAUACCGGUGGCGAAGGCGGCCCCCUGGACAGAUACUGACACUCAGAUGCGAAAGCGUGGGGAGCAAACAGGAUUAGAUACCCCUGGUAG